GCUUAAUGCCAAUACAUAAAUCAAGCUUCUAGCUUGUCAAGACAGUAGGUUAACCAAAACUAUACCUACUACCACUAAGUUUCCUAGUAAAUUGGAAUGAUAACUUGUGCAAAUGAAUAAAGCUGGUAAACAGCUCAAUCACCAUCAAGUUUACAUCAAAUAUCAUCUUAUCAUAGUUCAAAAUGAACUAGAUUACAUUACAUAAACAAAAAAUUCAAAUGAAACUAAACAUCCUUGCUUUCUCGUGCAAACUGCUGCUUCUGCAUGGUGGUCUUCAAUGCUGCAUGCUAACCACCUUUCAACACUCCUCCUUGGUUAGCAUGUUGCUAACUCCCAUCUUCAUUCUUAAGCUUUGAAACCUUGAAACAUUAAGAGGUUUUGUUAAAAUAUCAGCUAAUUGUUCAUCAGAACUGCAAUGAACCAGUUUCACUUCAUGAGCUUGUUGCAUUUCUCGAACUGCAUGAAGCUUAAUGUUAAAAUGUUUUGUCCUCCCAUGAAAAAUAAGGUUCUUUGCAAUUGCAACAGCCGAUUGAUUGUCACACAUUAUCUCUGUUGCUUCCUCUUGUUCAAGGUUGAGAUCGACUAGAAUUUUUCUAAGCCAAAUGGCUUGAUUGACUGUUGCAGCAGCUGCUACAUAUUCUGCUUCUGCGGUAGAUUGAGCCACCAGUGCUUGUUUCUUUGAACUCCAACAAAAUACUGCUGAGCCAAGAUUGAAAAAAUAGCCUGAAGUGCUUUUCAUAUCGUCCACUGAGCCUGCCCAAUCACUGUCACUGUAACCAAUCAAAUUUGAAUGCUUGGCCUUGGUAUACAACAUUCCAUAGCUCAGGGUUCCCUUAAUGUACCUGAGAAUUCUCUUGCCUACUUUAAAAUGACUUUCAUUGCAGCAAUGCAUGAAUCUCGAGAGUAAGCUCACAGCAUACAUUAUGUCUGGUCUAGUGGCAGUAAGAUAUAACAAACAACCAAUCAGACUUCUGUAAGUUGUCUCACACACUGGUUCAAAAAUCCCUUGACUCGAUAGCUUUCCUCCAACAGCUAUUGGUGUGUUGGUAGCUUUGCAAUUCUCCGUUAAGAAUUUUCUGAGAAUCUUCAUAGCAAAAGUCUUCUGACUUAGCCAAAUUCCUUUCUCAGCUUGCGUUACUUCCAUGCCUAAGAAGUAGGACAUCAACCCAAGAUCUGACAUCUCAAAAUGCUGUUGCAUUUUGGCUUUAAAACUGACCAGCAUAUCUUGAUCUCCUCCUGUCACCAAUAGGUCAUCGACAUAUAAUGAGACAAUGAGCUGAGUUUCUACCUUGGUCUUUUUGACAUACAGAGUUGGCUCGCUAAUACUCUUCUCAAAUCCCACACUGAUCAAAUAGCUGUCAAUCUUGCUAUACUGGGCUCUUGGAGCCUGUUUCAAGCCAUACAAGGCUUUGUUCAGCUUAUAUACCAUAUCUUCUCUACCAGUCACUUCAAAACCUUGAGGUUGUUCCACAUAAAUCUCUUCUUCAAGGGAUCCAUUUAGAAAUGCUGACUUUACAUCAAGCUGAUGUAUCUUCCACUCCCUUUGUGCUGCUAAUGCCACUACCAAUCUGAUGGUGUCAAGCCUGGCCACUGGUGCAAAAGUUUCCAGGUAGUCUAAUCCAUACCUUUGACUAAAGCCUUUGACAACUAACCUUGCCUUUAAUCUGUUUAAGCUUCCAUCAGCAUUCUGCUUGACUCGAUAAACCCAUUUAACUCCAAUGAUUUUCCUGUUUGCUGGCCUUUCAACUAGAUUCCAAGUUUGAUUCUUUUCUAUCAUGCUGAUCUCUUCUAUCAUUGCUUGCUUCCAGCCUUGUUGACUUUCUGCCUCUUCAAAACAACUUGGUUCUACCAUGGCUACUUGAGCUCUUUCAUAAACAUCAGCCAAUGAUCGAGUUCCUCUGAUUGGUUCAUCAUCCACAUCCAUUUCAAAUGUGUCUUGAUUAGUUCCAACUUGAUCAGAUGCAAGUUCUUCAGUUACAGCCUCUGGUUCAUUUUUAUCCCAGUUCCAGCAUGCCUUCUCAUUGAACACAACAUCUCUACUCACAAGGAUCUUAUUUGUAGAAGGUUCCAGCAUUCUAUAGCCCUUUUUAACUGCACUGUAGCCUAUCAGAAUCCCUGCUUGAGUUCUUUUAUCCAGCUUUCCUCUUUUCACAGCUGGAACUUGUGCAUAACAUAUGCAACCAAAGGUUCUGAGAUGAGCCAGUGAUGGUUUGAACCCAAACCAAGCUUCAAAUGGAGUUUUCUGAGCUAGGGCUUUAGUUGGAAGUCUAUUUUGAAGAUAGACUGCAGUGUUUACUGCUUCAGCCCACAGGGUUUUAGGCAGAUUUUUCUCAAACAGGAGGCACCUUGCCAUGUUCAUCAAACUUCUAUUUUUUCUUUCACUGACCCCAUUUUGUUGAGGUGUAUACACAUUGGUCAGUUGGUGUUUAAUGUCUGCAUUCUUACAAUAGAGUUGAAACUGAGCUGAGGUAUACUCAGUUCCAUUAUCUGACCUUAGUGUCUUAAGUUUGUGGCCAAUUUCAGUUUCAACAGCAGCUUUGAACUUCAAAAACACAUGAGCAACUUCUGAUUUUUGUUUCAUAAAGUAAAUCCAACAAUAUCUUGUAUGAUCAUCUAUGAAAAGAAUAAAGUACCUGUUCCCAUUGAGAGAUUUGGUCUUCAUUGGUCCACACACAUCAGUGUGUACAAGCUGCAGCUUCUCUGAUGCUCUCCAUGCUGUGUUUGCAGGAAAUGGCAAUCUUGCUUGUUUUCCUUGCUGGCACACUUCACAAAUUUCAUCAUUCUUCACGGUUUUGAUGAAGUUUUCAGCUAAUUCUUCAUUAAUCAUCUGAGCCAUUGAUUUGAAGUUAACAUGUCCAAGCCUUUGGUGCCAUAGCUUGGAGUCAUCAAUGGAGGCAAUAUAGGCUGAAUGUGAGUCAUCUGGCCAUUCCACUUCAAAACACUUGUCAGUCAUGGUGACUGUCAUGAAAUUUGAUCCAUUUGGAUCAAAAAUUUGGCAUUCUUUCUGCUUAAACACAACUGAGUAUCCUUUCUCUAGAAGUUGAGCUAUGUUGAGAAGAUUUCUGUCAAUCUCAGGUACUAAUAGCACAUUCGAGAUGACUUUGAUACCUGUAGGAGUGUAUAUCUGCACAUCCCCUUUUCCUUCAGCCUUUAUAAACUGACCAUUUCCAAUUUUUACUUUGGUUUUACAGGUUCUGUCCAAAGUUUUGAAAAUGGUUGCAUCUGGUGACAUGUGGUUUGUGCAUCCACUGUCCAGCAACCAACCUUUUGAGCAUUUCUUCUCAGCAGCUAAGCAAGAAAUAGCAAAGACCUGCUCUUCUUGAUCACUGCUGUCUUCAGCUACUCGAGCUUUAACCUUUGGUUGUUGAAAUUGACUCUGCCUUGGCUUGGUUCUAUUUUUGCAAACCCUUUCAACAUGGCCCUUCUUCUUGCAGUGUUGGCAUACUGCAUCUGGUCUGAACCAGCAUCUGUCUUCUGGAUGACCUGGCCUCUUGCAAUGUCUGCAGGGCUGGUCAUUGCUCCUUGCAGCAUCAUUCUUUGGCUUGUCUCUCCAGGCCUUCUUGCCUUUGUAGGCAGUAUUUGUUCUUGCCUGAAAGGCACCUUCUUGGUGCUCCUCUAGUCUGCUUACUCUCCUCUGCUCUUGAGCAUAUAGAGCAUUGAUCAACUCUGUCAGGGAGAUGGUGGAUAGGUCCCUUGAGUCUUCGAGAGAUGAGAUUUUUGCCUCAUACCUCUCAGGCAGAGUUGCUAUAACCUUCUCCACUAUCCUAGCUUCAUUGAACUGCUCUCCAAGGAGCCUUAUGCUGUUUACAACAGCCAUAAUUCUGUCUGAAUACUGCUUGACUGUUUCUUCUUCUUUCAUCUUGAGAUUUUCAAAGUCCCUUCUCAAGUUGAGAAGCUGUUGUUGCCUUGUUCUCUCAGUCCCUUGAAACUCUUCUUUCAGCUUGUCCCAAGCCUCCUUUGGUGUUUCACAAGCCAUUAUUCUUGUGAAAAUCACAUCUGAAACACAGUUUUGUAUGCAUGACAUGGCCUUGUGCCUUUUUGUUCUUUCAUCAGCAUGUUGCCUCAUUUGAGCAACUGUUGGAUUUGCUCUGAGAGGUGCUGGCUCUGCAUCUGAAUUGACUACCUCCCAUAGGUCGAAUGCCUGCAGGUAAGUCUUCAUUUUGACUACCCAAAUAUGGAAUCCUUCUCCAUUGAAGACAGGUGGUGCAUCUGGUGAAAAUCCUGAAGAGGCCAUCAGGUUCCUUGGUUUGAAACAACAGGUCCACUAAGACAAGGGCUCUAGAUACCAAUUGUUGGAGCUGAGAGCAACUAACAACAAGUUUCAGCCUAUUGCUUGAGCAGCAAGUGUCGUGACUUGCAGCAGAAACAAGCAGAAAACUAAAAAGAAUAAAGCAAGAAGAAUAGAGAGAGUUUUUGAAUGAAAACUUGAUUAAAUUCAUUCAUCAAAAAAUGGCUUAAUGCCAAUACAUAAAUCAAGCUUCUAGCUUGUCAAGACAGUAGGUUAACCAAAACUAUACCUACUACCACUAAGUUUCCUAGUAAAUUGGAAUGAUAACUUGUGCAAAUGAAUAAAGCUGGUAAACAGCUCAAGCACCAUCAAGUUUACAUCAAAUAUCAUCUUAUCAUAGUUCAAAAUGAACUAGAUUACAUUACAUAAACAAAAAAUUCAAAUGAAACUAAACAUCCUUGCUUUCUCGUGCAAACUGCUGCUUCUGCAUGGUGGUCUUCAAUGCUGCAUGCUAACCACCUUUCAACA
rnacentral:lncRNA from 1 species